rnacentral:tRNA from 1 species
GGGAAAGUAGCUCAUUGGGUAGAGCAGCUGACUCAUAAUCAGUUGGUAGAGGGUUCGAGUCCCUCCUUUCACACCA